AGCUAUGCAAUCAAGGAUAUUAGGAUAGUCAGCUUGCAAAUAUAUGAUGGAGCAUGAGGAAGUUGAGUGAGGUCUGAUACAUAUCAAUUUCAAAAGUAAUCUGAUUUUACUGAGCAGACUGAAUUCAAACAACUACAGAUUGAGAGCUGAUAAUGGAGUCCUAAAGGUUGUGCAUAGCAAUAGGGUUAUCUUGAAGGAAAAGAAGUUUGGAGGACACUACUCUUGGUAGGAAGCUCAGCACGAAGUGGAGCUCCACGUAUAGGUGGAUUGGACACAAGACGGA
rnacentral:lncRNA from 1 species